rnacentral:rRNA from 1 species
CUUCUUUUGUAAAAGAGUAAAGUGCACUACGUGUAGUGUAUGCAAGUACUUACGAAUAAGCAUCGGCUAAUUCCGUGCCAGCAGCCGCGGUAAUACGGAAGAUGCAAGUGUUAUCCGGAUUUAUUGGGUUUAAAGGGUGCGUAGGUGGUCUAAUAAGUCAGUGGUGAAAUCUCUUUGCUUAACAAGGAAAUUGCCAUUGAAACUGUUAGACUUGAGAAUGGACGAGGUAGGCGGAAUUCGUAGUGUAGCGGUGAAAUGCAUAGAUAUUACGAAGAACUCCAAUAGUGCAGACUGCUUACCAGACCAUAUCUGACACUAAGGCACGAAAGUGUGGGUAUCAAACAGGAUUAGAUACCCUGGUAGUCCACACAGUAAACGAUGAAUACUAACUGUUUGCGAUAUACAGCAAGUGGUCGAGCGAAAGCGUUAAGUAUUCCACCUGGGAAGUAUGCCGGCAACGGUGAAACUCAAAGGAAUUGACGGGGGCCCGCACAAGCGGAGGAACAUGUGGUUUAAUUCGAUAAUACGCGAGGAACCUUACCCGGGCUCGAACGAUAUUUGAAUACAUCCGAAAAGAUGUAGCUAGCAAUAGCAAAUACCGAGGUGCUGCAUGGUUGUCGUCAGCUCGUGCCGUGAGGUGUCGACUUAAGUGUCAUAACGAGCGCAACCCUUACCGAUAGUUACCAUCAGAUAAUGCUGGGGACUCUAUUGGGACUGCCACCGUAAGGUGUGAGGAAGGAGAGGAUGACGUCAAAUCAGCACGGCCCUUAUGUCCGGGGCGACACACGUGUUACAAUGGGAGAAACAAAGGGUCGCUACCUGGCAACAGGAUGCUAAUCUCGAAAAUCUCUCUCAGUUCGGAUUGGAGUCUGCAACUCGACUCCAUGAAGCUGGAUUCGCUAGUAAUCGCACAUCAGCCAUGGUGCGGUGAAUACGUUCCCGGGCCUUGUACACACCGCCCGUCAAGCCAUGGAAGCUGGAAGUACCUGAAGUAUGUAACCGAAAAGAGCGUCCU